rnacentral:rRNA from 1 species
AGCGAACGCUGGCGGCAGGCUUAACACAUGCAAGUCGAACGGGCGUAGCAAUACGUCAGUGGCAGACGGGCGAGUAACGCGUGGGAACGUACCUUUUGGUUCGGAACAACCCAGGGAAACUUGGGCUAAUACCGGAUAAGCCCUUACGGGGAAAGAUUUAUCGCCGAAAGAUCGGCCCGCGUCUGAUUAGCUAGUUGGUGUGGUAACGGCGCACCAAGGCGACGAUCAGUAGCUGGUCUGAGAGGAUGAUCAGCCACAUUGGGACUGAGACACGGCCCAAACUCCUACGGGAGGCAGCAGUGGGGAAUAUUGGACAAUGGGCGCAAGCCUGAUCCAGCCAUGCCGCGUGAGUGAUGAAGGCCCUAGGGUUGUAAAGCUCUUUUGUGCGGGAAGAUAAUGACGGUACCGCAAGAAUAAGCCCUGGCUAACUUCGUGCCAGCCGCCGCAGUAAC